GCGUGUUAUGUUACUCUUUAUUGCAGCAGCAUUACGUUCAGCGGCGCACGUGUUACCUCAAUAGAAACAAGUUUAAGAAACUGAGUGCAGGCCUGAAUACGGACCAGCUCACGGGCAUCAUUUAUAAAGUGAUCAAUUGGAAUAGACGAGGAGCAGGGCAGGACUGGUAAUCUGGACUACCGGACAUUUUUCCGGCGGACCGACGCACUUUGGGGCCGAUCAGGGUGGACUGGCCAUCGGGAGAACCGAGCGGGUCGCUGUGUCGGCCGCGAUAAGCUAAACGAGCCGCCGCGUUAGCGAAUACUCUCCUCCAACAACUUUUGGGCCAGUUAUGUCAAAUCCCGGGCCGAUUUCUCUUUCCAGUCCAGCCCUGACAAGGAGCACAUGGAUAUUGUUGAAGUUAAACCAGGCUGAACGUCACUGCCUGAAAUGCCAGCAUAUCAGAAGAUGUCGCCUCCAGUGUCACUGUGCUCUCCGGUGGAGAACUGUUGCCACUAGCUCUGAUGGCAUGUUUUGCUACCAUUCUUUUGAAAGCUGAAUAAUGUGGGAUUGUGGUUAAAUCCAUUAGCAGAUUUGUUCCCACAUAUCUGCAAAUUUUUGUUGUAUUGUUCAGUUUAAGUCAAUUUUUGUAUGUACUUGGAAGCUUUUGUUAUUGAACAAAUAAAUAUGUAUGAUUUCCUUGA